GAGAGACUGAGUCAAGGCCUAGAGGCGACUCCAGUCAGAUAAGAGCAAGGAGAAAGCAGCAGAGUGAGCUGCGGGAUUGACAAGAACUUCUUGAUCCCUUUUGUACGGCUGAAAAAGACUUGAAAGCUCGGAGAGACUGAGUCAAGGCCUAGAGGCGACUCCAGUCAGAUAAGAGCAAGGAGAAAGCAGCAGAGUGAGCUGCGGGAUUGACAAGAACUUCUUGAUCCCUUUUGUACGGGUAUUGUUUUAUACCCUUAUGGUUAUUUUGAUGUAAAUACUGUAAUGUCAUAAGUAUCAAUGUAAAUUGAGCAGUUAUAAAUAAAUUGUAAUAAUAUUAUUUUGGGUUGCUUCUGUAAAUUUAAUAUUUGUAAAUAUGAAUUUUCUGCUUUAUGCCUUGUUAAUGAAGUAUUAAA